rnacentral:rRNA from 1 species
AAACCAACAGGGAUUGCCCUAGUAACGGCGAGUGAAGCGGCAACAGCUCAAAUUUGAAAUCUGGCUCUCGGGCCCGAGUUGUAAUUUGUAGAGGAUACUUUUGAUGCGGUGCCUUCCGAGUUCCCUGGAACGGGACGCCAUAGAGGGUGAGAGCCCCGUCUGGUUGGAUGCCAAAUCUCUGUAAAGUUCCUUCGACGAGUCGAGUAGUUUGGGAAUGCUGCUCUAAAUGGGAGGUAUAUGUCUUCUAAAGCUAAAUACCGGCCAGAGACCGAUAGCGCACAAGUAGAGUGAUCGAAAGAUGAAAAGCACUUUGAAAAGAGAGUUAAAAAGUACGUGAAAUUGUUGAAAGGGAAGCGUUUAUGACCAGACUUGGGCUUGGUUAAUCAUCUGGGGUUCUCCCCAGUGCACUUUUCCAGUCCAGGCCAGCAUCAGUUUUCCCCGGGGGAUAAAGACUUCGGGAAUGUGGCUCUCUUCGGGGAGUGUUAUAGCCCGUUGUGUAAUACCCUGGGGGGGACUGAGGUUCGCGCAUCUGCAAGGAUGCUGGCGUAAUGGUCAUCAACGACCCGUCUUGA